GUACUUGGUUCCUUACUCCAGCUGAACGUGUCACUUAGAAGGACGUUUUGCAACUAGGAAAUUGAGAACUUUAGACACCAACGGCACAUCAAGGGCCUGAAAGUCAUGAUUUUACGGCUAAAUGUAUAGCUAAAAAGAAAACCAUCGACAUGUUCUUUUGCCAGAGUCUCAUCAUGAACGAAGACAGACUACGAGCCUUUCGAUAGGUUACGCGCGGGAACCUAUA
rnacentral:lncRNA from 1 species